GCCAGACCCAUUUGAUAUGGCUAUUGAUUUUGCAAUUGUUGCUGCAUUUUUGUUGGAAGCUCUCCCAUCUCUCAGAAAAUCAAGCAUGGGAAGUAAAGGAAUUUUCUCAGUGGUUGAUGAUGAAAUGAGUAUUGGAGAUGAAGAAAGUGAUGAGGUUCUAAAUAUGGACUUGGAACAACAAAUAUCCAAAGCAAUUGAUCCAAAUUUUCUUCUA